AAUGGGCCCUAAAUCAUCUAUAAUAUACUAUUUUGAUAACUAAUAUCUUGUUAGAUGCUUUGUUGAAUCAAGAGAAGAAAGGAAAAGACAAAGAAGAGAAAGUUAUGGAGACUUGGAGAGGCGGCAAAUAGAAGUGAGGUGAUGGGGACAAUGGCUCACCAAUUAUGGCAAUGGUGGCACCAUCAUUACACAACAUGACAAAACAAACAAACAAAACAAAAUAAGAUUGCGAAUGAAAGAAACAAGUGUAAUGCAGCAUCACAACAGUAGUUGCUAUUAUUAUGUAACGGAGGGCCCAUCCAAGAGUAACGUAACUUCACAUGGCUGAUGGGCCAAAUCUUUCCAUGUUCAUCACAACAUAGUUCCUUUAAACCAACUUCUUCUAUAUGUUUAACAACAAUAAAAACUUCUUGC
rnacentral:lncRNA from 1 species